rnacentral:rRNA from 1 species
AUUGAACGCUGGCGGCAUGCCUUACACAUGCAAGUCGAACGGCAGCACGGGAGCAAUCCUGGUGGCGAGUGGCGAACGGGUGAGUAAAGCAUCGGAAUGUGCCCAGUCGUGGGGGAUAACGUAGCGAAAGCUACGCUAAUACCGCAUACGAUCUGUGGAUGAAAGCGGGGGACCGUAAGGCCUCGCGCGAUUGGAGCGGCCGAUGUCAGAUUAGGUAGUUGGUGAGGUAAAGGCUAACCAAGCCGACGAUCUGUAGCUGGUCUGAGAGGACGACCAGCCACACUGGGACUGAGACACGGCCCAGACUACUACGGGAGGCAGCAGUGGGGAAUUUUGGACAAUGGGCGCAAGCCUGAUCCAGCAAUGCCGCGUGCAGGAUGAAGGCCUUCGGGUUGUAAACUGCUUUUGUACGGAGCGAAACGGCUUCCACUAAUACUGGGGGCUAAUGACGGUACCGUAAGAAUAAGCACCGGCUAACUACGUGCCAGCCGCCGCAGUAACAC